UACGUAGGGGGCUAGCGUUGUCCGGAUUUAUUGGGCGUAAAGAGCGUGUAGGCGGCCAUGUAGGUCCGGUGUGAAAACUCGAGGCUUAACCUCGAGAUGUCAUCGGAAACCAUUUGGCUAGAGUCCGGAAGAGGAGAGUGGAACUCCUGGUGUAGCGGUGAAAUGCGCAGAUAUCAGGAGGAACACCGGUGGCGAAGGCGGGUCUCUGGGCCGAUACUGACGCUGAGGAGCGAAAGCAUGGGUAGCGAACAGG
rnacentral:rRNA from 1 species